ACUCCUACGGGAGGCAGCAGUGGGGAAUAUUGCACAAUGGGCGCAAGCCUGAUGCAGCCAUGCCGCGUGUAUGAAGAAGGCCUUCGGGUUGUAAGGUACUUUCAGCGGGGAGGAAGGGAGUAAAGUUAAUACCUUUGCUCAUUGACGUUACCCGCAGAAGAAGCACCGGCUAACUCCGUGCCAGCAGCCGCGGUAAUACA
rnacentral:rRNA from 1 species